UGUGUUCACGAGCUUGUGAGAUUCUUGCAUGCAUAAAGACAACGAUACUUAUUUUUCGGGACCAAUUAUAUUAUACACUAAUAAUCCUCAUCAGUCUCCAAUUAUAUGAUUUCUAGCUACUAGUAUGUCAUCUCCAGUCCACUCGUUAAUGCUUAAAUAAUAAGAAAUAAAUAAACAUGUAUAAACAAAAAACUUAAUUAGCUAAAAACAUUAUCUAAAUUCUCAAGCUCUUCCACCUCUCAUUAAAUGUGAUCCAAAAAGAAAACUAAAGAACCUUAAAAAGCUGGCUGAUGAACCUCUUGAUGGCUCUCUCCCAUCAUAAAUCAAUUCUAAUCAUCCCCCAAAAACAAACCUGAAACACACAACACAAAAUUACACAAGUCACCAUCUCGCUCUCUGUCUCUCUUACUCUCUCUGUCUCUCCUCUUUCUCUCUCAUUUAUGUAAGAUAUGGUGAGAUAUGAAGAAACAGUUAGCUUUCCCUGAAUCCCAUGAAGACAAUGACCCAACAUCACCACCAUCAUCAUCAUUAAUCAUUCAGCAUCAUCAUCGUCAUCUCUUUUUGUUUGUCCCUUCUUUGAACCACCACUUGCUAAUAGCUAGUUGCUAGUUGCAACAUCCACAUACUUAAUUCACCUUUUUCUAUAAGUUACAGUCCCCACUUAUAGUUUCUAUUGGGUUGAGAAGAUUUCGAAAGGAGAGCUAGCUAGGGUUUUCAGACAGCUCCUAAAUCUGAGUGUGAAACAUCAAGAUCCAUUUCGUCCUUUGUCUCUCUCUUGGUAGCCUCUUCUUGACAAGACCCAUCAGUGGUCUUACUUGUACAGUAAAGCGGUUCUUUCUGUGAAGUUUCAUAAAGAACACUCACCAUAUCCAAACCUUGUAAGUUAAGUUCAUUCAUAUACACUUACUACAUUAGUUGACAUUCUAAUUCAUUGCUGAUGCAUUUAUAAGUAAGUACAUGCAAUUAAUAACCUUUCAAACUAAAUGUUCAAAUAUAUAAGUACAUAGGAAGUUGUCUUGGUCACAUUUUUGUCUAGUUGUCGAUGGCUCAUUUAAAGCAAUAAGUAGUGCAUGUGUUUGAAACUAACUCAUGCCUAUGUAUUCUUCUGUAGAACAACUUGCUUUUUCAUAAGUGUGGCCCUUCAUUGUUUCAAAAGUAUAGAUAGAUAUAUGAAUCGAGAUUAAAAUAGAUAGAUAUAGAAGGAGAUUCUUUCAGUCCAGUCAUGGAUAGAAAAAGAAGAGGGUAGAAAUAUCUGCCGACUCAUCCAUCCAAACACUCGUGGUAGAGAAACGAUCAAUUUUAAACCGCAGUGACUGUAUGAAUGAUGCGGGAGAUAUUUUUGAUCCUUCUUUAUCUGUGUUUGGACUGAAGGGAGCUCCUUCUUUUUCUACAAUUUUUUCAUUUUUUUCUCAUCAUCUGUUUAUAUAUCAGUAUAUAUAUUGCAUCUGGAUUCUAGACAUGAUUCGACUUCAAAUCGAAUUGAACUGUACUCGUUGAGCCAUAUAUGGUUUAGGAUUGAGUCAUGUCCACGUGAAUCUACCCACUAACUCACUAGUUAGGGUUGCAUUAAAGGUAUAGUCAGAUUUUAAACUAAUGCUUGUUUUUGGGGGGAUAUUAAUUAUGUUAAGCUUUCUUUGAAUGAUAUAUAUACAGUAUAUUACAUUCUAAUGAAAAUCUUCGGUUACGACUAUGGAUACAUGACGAUGGUCUUUCUUAAAUACUAAUUCAUACUUUGUGUUUUUGGACCAAUGUAGGAACAUGUAUGUAUCCAUUUUUCCUCCCUUUUUAUUUGUUGGGUUGAGAGAUAUUAUUAAUUAGUAAAUAUAGAGGUCGUGUUCUUGCCUUAUUCGUAUUUUGUAAAGUAAGACUUUAGUACUGUACUUGUAAUUUGUAUGUUACCGAUGAUUGGAAUGCAUGGUUUACAACUUUACAUC